AGAACGAACGCUGGCGGCAUGCCUAACACAUGCAAGUCGAACGAGACCUUUCGGGGUCUAGUGGCGCACGGGUGCGUAACGCGUGGGAAUCUGCCCCUUGGUUCGGAAUAACAGUUAGAAAUGACUGCUAAUACCGGAUGACGACGUAAGUCCAAAGAUUUAUCGCCGAGGGAUGAGCCCGCGUAGGAUUAGCUAGUUGGUGAGGUAAUGGCUCACCAAGGCGACGAUCCUUAGCUGGUCUGAGAGGAUGAUCAGCCACACUGGGACUGAGACACGGCCCAGACUCCUACGGGAGGCAGCAGUGGGGAAUAUUGGACAAUGGGCGAAAGCCUGAUCCAGCAAUGCCGCGUGAGUGAUGAAGGCCUUAGGGUUGUAAAGCUCUUUUACCAGGGAUGAUAAUGACAGUACCUGGAGAAUAAGCUCCGGCUAAUUCCGCGCCAGCAGCCGC
rnacentral:rRNA from 1 species